rnacentral:tmRNA from 1 species
ACAGAAGUCCAAUUAUCCACGGACGGAGUAGAGGUGCUGCCACCAUGAUCUCUUCAAACAUUAGAGAAGCAAGAACUGUCAUCCUUCCCAGGCUGAUGUUGGAAAUAACAUCCAAUGGGACUCUUACUGUGGCCUCACAUACUCCAAUUUUUCAGAAAUUAUCUCUCCUGGAUCUACCCAGCCUCACCGCUCAUCUGAAAACCAAGCUAUCAGGAUCAAUGUUUAAAGGCUUUCUUUUUGCCACAUUGUGUGAAACAGAGGAUCAUGUCACGACCUUGGAUAUGCAUCCACACGUUUUUGAGAAAAGGCUGGUUUUAUACAACCCCAGAAAUACCUGUAACAAGGAGCUAUGUGCACUGAUUUCCAUGGUGGAAAACUUAAUGGAUUGUGACCCCAAAUUGCCUUUGUCUAUUUAUAUGAGGGGGAAAAGAUUGUUUCAGAAGAAUCCCGGUAAAGAUUCCUGUUUUCUCUUUAAGGGAUUGUCUACUUUGAUAUCCACCCACUUUGCUGUUUAUCACCCAAAUUUCACAGUCAAUGAUGAAUUACUACUGCCUCCCCUCUUGGCCUACAAGAUGCAUUCAACCAUUGAGGGAAUUGAUGAAGUAUCCAAGGGACUCCUGAAAGCAAUUUACCUGGACUCUUACAGAAUGGACAAUAACAUAGAUGAUUUUCAAAACCCAGCGGGGACAUUCACACUUCUGUGCUUGCCCACCAUUUUUACUAAACACCUCACUGUCCCAAAUGUUCUAAUCCUGAUAAAACGCGCAGGGUUGAUGUAUGAGGCCAUAGACAACAUUAUUUUAUGAUAAAUUUAAUAAAGUUUCAUAAUUUGACAAU